UACAGAGGGGGCAAGCGUUGUUCGGAAUUACUGGGCGUAAAGGGCGCGUAGGCGGCCCUCUAAGUCGAACGUGAAAUCCCUGGGCUCAACCCAGGAACUGCGUCCGAGACUGGGGGGCUUGAAUCCGGGAGAGGGAUGUGGAAUUCCAGGUGUAGCGGUGAAAUGCGUAGAUAUCUGGAGGAACAUCGGUGGCGAAGGCGGCAUCCUGGACCGGUAUUGACGCUGAGGCGCGAAAGCCAGGGGAGCAAACGGG
rnacentral:rRNA from 1 species